rnacentral:rRNA from 1 species
ACGAACGCUGGCGGCGUGCUUAACACCUGCAAGUCGAACGGUGAAGCGCCUUCCUUUUUGGUGGGUGUGGAUGAGUGGCGAGCGGGUGAGUAACACGUGAGUAACCUGCCCCCUUCUUCUGGAUAACCGCAUGAAAGUGUGGCUAAUACGGGAUAUUCUGGGUCUGUCGCAUGAUGGGUCUGGGAAAGAUAUUGUUUCGGUGGGGGAUGGGCUCGCGGCCUAUCAGCUUGUUGGUGGGGUGAUGGCCUACCAAGGCGGUGACGGGUAGCCGGCCUGAGAGGGUGGACGGUCACACUGGGACUGAGACACGGCCCAGACUCCUACGGGAGGCAGCAGUGGGGAAUAUUGCACAAUGGGCGCAAGCCUGAUGCAGCGACGCCGCGUGAGGGAUGGAGGCCUUCGGGUUGUGAACCUCUUUCGCCAGUGAAGCAGGCCUGCCUCGUUUGUGGGUGGGUUGACGGUAGCUGGAUAAGAAGCGCCGGCUAACUACGUG